CUCUUCUCAAAUUGAAAUGGAAAGUACUUUUAAAAUGUCAAACGUUUAGCUCCGCCCACAUUUAGCCCAACCCCGAUCUGCGUACUGCAGUCAGGUGCAAUUGGACAGUUAGGUGCAAUU